UUUUUUUUUUCACCACGCAGCGCAAAUCGACGCUGCUCGACGGCGCUCCCCGGAGGAUCCCGGGUGUCACGGCGGCGGCGGAAAGUUCGCGUCCGCGCGGCUGACAGAGAGGAGACGAGUCGGCCCUGCCCCCAAAAAACCUGUGUCUCCAAGUGAAGGGGAAAAAUGCACCGGGACACAUGGGACAUGACAGGCCAUGAACACCAGUCUAAAUAUCAUUCUGGCAGCGUGCCAAGGCCUGUGAGACGGUGAACGGGCACCUCCACCAUCACAGUGUCCCCAGUCCGGGGACAAUAGCCCUCAAUGGUGGACAAGUGCCUAACAGGAAGUAGCUUACAUUGUCUGUAAAAAACAAAAAAAAAACAAAACUAGACAUCGCUGUUUAUUACCACUAUUAUUUGUUAACAAAGUCUCCCCAAUUAAUGAGGGUCCAAGCACCCUAGCACUGUUAUUAUCAUAUGUUAUUAUUGUUCAUAUACUGUAGUUGUUUCUACUAUUGUUGUUGUUUUCUGCAAACAAUUGCUUUGGCAAAAAACUGCUGAAAUGUGGCCUUGCCAAUAAAGCUUAUUUGAACUGAA